GACGAACGCUGGCGGCGUGCCUAAUACAUGCAAGUCGAACGAGUGGCGGACGGGUGAGUAACACGUGGGAACCUACCCGUCAGAGGGGGAUAACACUUGGCAACAGGUGCUAAUACCGCAUAGAUGGAUGGACCCGCGGUGCAUUAGCUAGGGGGUGGGGUAACGGCUCACCUAGGCGACGAUCCCUAGCUGGGCUGAGAGGAUGACCAGCCACACGGGAACUGAGACACGGUCCAGACUCCUACGGGAGGCAGCAGUGGGGAAUAUUGCACAAUGGGCGCAAGCCUGAUGCAGCCAUGCCGCGGGUGUGAAGAAGGCCUUCGGGUUGUAAAGCACUUUCAGCGGGGAGGCGUUACCCGCAGAAGAAGCACCGGCUAACUCCGUGCCAGCAGCCGCGGUAAUAC
rnacentral:rRNA from 1 species